rnacentral:snRNA from 1 species
UACGGAGUUGGACCUUCCAAGCGAACUAAUUUCUUGCCUUUUACCAGAGAUUACCGUGGAAUGGCCAAAGUCACUCCGUUGCAAAUAAUCUUUGGAAACCAUCAGUUCGACUCCGGUC